rnacentral:misc_RNA from 1 species
GGCAAAACUGAGAUCCUUCCUGUGAUUUAUUGGUAACAAACUCCAAACUACAACCAAAUUUCCUGUACUCAUUCGCAAACCACUCAAGUAGUGACAAUUUAUCCUGAACUUCUAAUUCAGCAUUUGUAUCAGGAUCACGGAAGUUACUUUGGACAGUGUCUUGCUCCUUGUUCAAGUGCUUAAUGAUUGUUUCUCCGGAGGUGUUAUUUUUCAGCACGUACCUAUUAAUGUCUAGAUUUUCCCACACAAUUAGGGUCUCAAUAGCACCCAUUUCCAGAACCUUCAAGGUAUCAUCAACCCCAAAAACAUACUUCCCGGUGUCCUGACUGAUCUCCUCAAAAUACUUACCUAUCAAUUUCUUCUCUUGUAUAAAUUUCACAUUUGCCAAGACCUCGGCAGAUAGCUCAAUUGCUUGAUUGAAACCGUUCUCCCCUCCAUACGAAACAUCGACCACAUUUAAAAUCUUUGCCUGAAGACGAGGAUCAAACAUAUCAGACUGGCUAAGCUCCGUCUUAAAGUCAGCUGAUCCAGCUAAUAUCAAGCCUGAAACAUUGGGCUGGCUGGUAGCAGGAUUAAUA